UCUCACAGAAGCUGCCCCCUACUGGGCGCCUGUGCCUUCUGCUCAUGGCCUGGCAGGGAGCCUCAGUUUCCAAAGCAGCCCCUUCUUACCUUGGUCCCAGCUCGUGUCUGCGUCCGGAGGCGAAGGAGCCAGGUGGUUAAACAGGACCUGGAGUAGAGACCCAGGCCCGCUGCGUUAGCCCGAUGCCCGCGGCCUGGGCACGGCCCGGUGGGCCGCUGGGCGGUCUGUGGGGCGCUGCUUUGUCAGCAGGAAGUCGCACAGGUUCCCCUUGCAAAAUGAAAACUAGCUAAGAAUUGUCAGAGACUAACCUGGUCCUGUAUAAAGAUGCAGAAACUGAGGCAUAGGGGAGUUAAGUAACCUGCUUCAAAGUACACAGAAAAUCCAUGUAAGCACUGGCAAUCUGGCUGCUAAACGUUCCACUAUCCUGCCACACCAACAUGAGAGCAGGAAGAAGUGGACGGGAGAGGACAAAAAACUGGUUUUGGACACAGAGGUCAUCUGGGUCUGAGCAAACUGCCAGAAACUGCUGCGAUGGACCCCAGUGACUUGGGGACAGGAACCAUCUAGAAGGAGUCUGACCAACGUGCCUGGUGGUUUGGGUUCUAGCCUUCAUUUUGCCGCUGGCUGUAUUACUUGGGAAGGCCAAGUUCCUCUCUUGGCCCACUUUAGGACAUGUCUGAGGUUCUUUCCCACUCAGAUUUUCAGAUAAAAUGCUAUAAAUUCAGGGCACACUGAAGGCCCAGGCGUCUGAGACCAACUGCAUCUUCUCAGAAAUAUCAGGGAGUCUUCCAUACGUGAGAGAGACAUGGCCAAGGUUUUUCUUGGGUAAAGGAUCACAGAGUCAUAGAAGUGGGAAAGACCCCAGAGACCGCAGCCAACACACCACAUCAGCACCGCCCUCAUUCCACGGGCAGCUAGG